CCGCUGUGCCUGGGGAGACCCCUCCGGCGUGAUCUGGAGGAACCCUGCCAGGAGGUCAGGCCAAAAUGACAGAAAGUGAGGAGGGAAAACAGCUGGAGAAGCGUGUAAGACAGAAGGGAAGCACCUCCUUCUGCCUUCACUUGGUCGCUCCGCCUGGGUUUGAACCUGGGGAGGCAAAAUUCAACGUCCACAUCGCUCAUCUCCAGCCGGGGUGGCGUUCCCUCGAUCACCAGCUCCUCGCGCCGUUUCUCCUUGAGCCUCUUCAGACCAAAGCGACCGCCUCUCUUCUUCUUGGCCUUGAAUGGCUUGAUCGCCUUCACGCUCUGAAACAUACAAGAAGAAGGAGGUCACUCCACAGCAUGGCACCACCAACAUAGAAGUUUCAGGAACAGCUGGUCAGCUGACCUGAUGCACUGGCUAGGAGCGUAGGAAUGGAGACCAUCAGGGAGGUAAGGCGGGGCUCGUCUCAAACUCAACUGAUGUGGAUGCUGCUGGAGAUAGUUUGACUGA